AUUGAACGCUGGCGGCAUGCCUUACACAUGCAAGUCGAACGGCAGCACGGGGCAACCUGGUGGCGAGUGGCGAACGGGUGAGUAAUGCAUCGGAACGUGCCAUUGAGUGGGGGAUAACGUAGCGAAAGUUGCGCUAAUACCGCAUAUUCUGUGAGCAGGAAAGCAGGGGACCGCAAGGCCUUGCGCUCUUUGAGCGGCCGAUGUCAGAUUAGCUAGUUGGUGAGGUAACGGCUUACCAAGGCGACGAUCUGUAGCGGGUCUGAGAGGAUGAUCCGCCACACUGGAACUGAGACACGGUCCAGGACUCCUACGGGAGGCAGCAGUGGGGAAUUUUGGACAAUGGGCGCAAGCCUGAUCCAGCCAUGCCGCGUGAGUGAAGAAGGCCU
rnacentral:rRNA from 1 species